UGGGGAAUAUUGCACAAUGGGCGAAAGCCUGAUGCAGCAACGCCGCGUGAGGGACGACGGCCUUCGGGUUGUAAACCUCUUUUAGCAAGGAAGAAGCGAAAGUGACGGUACUUGCAGAAAAAGCGCCGGCUAACUACGUGCCAGCAGCCGCGGUAAUACGUAGGGCGCAAGCGUUAUCCGGAAUUAUUGGGCGUAAAGAGCUCGUAGGCGGUUUGUCGCGUCUGCUGUGAAAACCCGAGGCUCAACCUCGGGCCUGCAGUGGGUACGGGCAGACUAGAGUGCGGUAGGGGAGAUUGGAACUCCUGGUGUAGCGGUGGAAUGCGCAGAUAUCAGGAAGAACACCGAUGGCG
rnacentral:rRNA from 1 species